GAUGAAGAACGCAGCGAAAUGCGAUAAGUAGUGUGAAUUGCAGAAUUCAGUGAAUCAUCGAAUCUUUGAACGCACAUUGCGCCCCUUGGUAUUCCAUGGGGCAUGCCUGUUCGAGCGUCAUUUGUACCUUCAAGCUCUGCUUGGUGUUGGGUGUUUGUCUCGCCUCUGCGCGUAGACUCGCCUCAAAACAAUUGGCAGCCGGCGUAUUGAUUUCGGAGCGCAGUACAUCUCGCGCUUUGCACUCAUAACGACGACGUCCAAAAGUACAUUUUUACACUCUUGACCUCGGAUCAGGUAGGGAUACCCGCUGAACUUAAGCAUAUCAAUAAGCGGGGA
rnacentral:misc_RNA from 1 species